rnacentral:rRNA from 1 species
GACGAACGCUGGCGGCGUGCCUAAUACAUGCAAGUCGAGCGAAUCGAUGGGAGCUUGCUCCCUGAGAUUAGCGGCGGACGGGUGAGUAACACGUGGGUAACCUGCCUGUAAGACUGGGAUAACUUCGGGAAACCGGAGCUAUUACCGGAUAAUUUCUUUUCUCGCAUGAGGAGAGAUGGAAAGAUGGUUCUGCUAUCACUUACAGAUGGACCCGCGGCGCAUUAGCUAGUUGGUGAGGUAACGGCUCACCAAGGCGACGAUGCGUAGCCGACCUGAGAGGGCGAUCGGCCACACUGGGACUGGGACACGGCCCAGACUCCUACGGGAGGCAGCAGUAGGGAAUCUUCCGCAAUGGACGAAAGUCUGACGGAGCAACGCCGCGUGAGCGAAGAAGGCCUUCGGGUCGUAAAGCUCUGUUGUUAGGGAAGAACAAGUACGAGAGUAACUGCUCGUACCUUGACGGUACCUAACCAGAAAGCCACGGCUAACUACGUGCCAGCAGCCGCGGUAAAAC